CAUUGAAUGUGUGGAAAAGCCCUCUGGAGCCUGACUUCUACGGGGGACUCAGCUUUUGCCUGCUUGCCUUGUUGGUGUCCUGUAUCUACAUCACUGUUAGGAUCGCAGCCUGCAGACCCCCGGGCCUGGAGCCCCCACAGGUUUGCUUACUGCUUAGAUUUUGCAUUCCCUUUUUGUUUCCUGUACCUGCGGCUUUCCUUCUCAUUCCUUUGAGCCAGGCCACAUAUUACAAUUUUUAAAAUCUUAUUUUAUGCAGAAUUUUGGAUCCAUUAUAUUGACCAUAAGUCCAAGAAUUAUUUUAGGUUUCUAAGUGAUUGAUUUGUUUAUUUUAUUUUUAAGCAAUGGCAAGGAAAGCAGGAGAGAACUGCGUGUUGGCAUCUGCUUUUUGUUUUCUGCUUAUAUUUAUCAUCUAAGAAUAUAUUUAAACAAUUUCUACAUUUUUGGCAUUAAUAUGUUGGUGUUUUCUUUGUGUCUUAGUGCAAUAAAUGUUUAAAGGUAUUCAUAGUCACUUAAAAAAGGUAUAUGUAUCUGCUCUAUAGCUUUAAUUUUUUUAUUAUUCAUCCAAAGACUUGGAAAGUCAUGUUACUAUAUCCCAUUAUAAAUGAAAAUUUUCAAUACAUUCUUUUUUGUUUAGCAGUUUUUCAUUAUAUAAUCUGCUACAAAUAAUACAUUAAUUAUUUAAGACUCCAAGGCCUGAAUCAUGUUUCAAGUGGCUGGAGCCACAACAGCCUCAGUGAGCCUUCAGUUAGUCUUUUUCUGAUUAAUAAUGGCACUUCUAUUUUUUGUUAUAAAAUGUAAUGCCGCAUUUGGUGAAAAAAAUCUUGAAAGAGGAAAUAUAUACUAUAAAAUGAAAAUAGAUAAUGCUUUAAAACUUGGAUAUAGUGGUGAAAAAGGAGAAUAGGAAAACUAAAAGAGUCCACGUUUAUUUUAUUUAACAGGGACAACUCAGCGGAGACACAUUCAUAAGAUCGAUAGAGAAAUGCAGAUUUUAAAAUGUUGCAUUUUAAAAUUGGUCUCUUCUGUCCUCCAUAGUUUCUUGUUCGUAUCAUUUACUUAAUGAAAAUGAACAGAUGAACUAAUAAAUGAAGGACAAGUUAUUCCCCCCCCCCAAUUCUAAUAUUUCCCUUUUAGUUAGAAUAUUUUAAAUAACCAUUUGAGUUCAGGAGUGUUGCCUGCAGCCUAUAAUAUGGCUGAGUCACUGUCUUCCUCUUCUCCGGUCUGUCAGCCCUUGUGCCGGCAGCACAGUUAGGUCUGUGGUUUAAGCUGAAUCCCUACUCCUUUGUUUACUUAUUUAUUUUGAAUAUGAAUCAGGUGGAGCGCCUGUGCAGGUGUCUGCAAGUUUAUAUCAGGAAAGGAAGAGAAGUUAGUUUCCCAAGAAAUAAAAUUUCAUGGAGAAGUUGGAAAACGUGCCCUCAGUAUGUCACUCUAUGAAUCCACGGCACAUUUGCAUUUCUUGUUAUCUUACUAUAGGAUGUCUGCAUAACCUUUCAAGAAACGCAACACUCCACCCCAAGUCCACUGAUACUCAGAGAGACGCUGGGUCUGAAGGCUUGCUUGUCUGGGAGACCUUCUUCAGAAGGUGUCGAUGUCUUUGAGUUUAACCCUCAGGAGUUUCUGCUCUUAGACUUGAGAUUUUGGUUAAGGAGAGAGAAAGGGAAGGCAGACUUAGGCGACAUCACACAAGAAAAGGCGAAAAAAAAGGAGAACUCUGUAGAGGGCGCACGUCCAACUUUCACACUGUGACCGCUUGGGGAUAUUUCAAAAUGUUUUCAAAUGGCAUGUACUUUUUGGAUACGUGAGGGCAUUUCCAAGUAUCAAGAAAAAAAUAACUGAAUAUUUCAAAUGUUUGGAAUUACUCCCAAUUCAAGAAAUCCAGAUGUUUGUAAUGAAGCCAUUUCAUAUCUCUGUUUAAAUAUUCAAGUGGGUUUUAAGAUGAUACAGAGGGAAAAAGGCAUACUCCUCAAUUCUUCCUUUUAAAAAAUAGGAUAGUAUGUACUCC